rnacentral:lncRNA from 1 species
GUUUGAAAUUGGCGGUUGGCAAGAUGCUGUGUUUGGAGAUGGGGCCCUUGCCCAGUCUGGGGCGCUGUCUUUUGCUGUCCGAGCUCCUGCGGGUAGCUCUGCCCAGACCGCCCGCCCCAGAUAAGGAUGCUAGGAACCAAACUCCAGCACUCUGCAUGAAUGCACUCAACUGAGCCAUCGCCCAUGCCUAACGUAGGCUCACGUUGGGGAAUCAGGAGGCUGUGCGGUACAGCUGAGGCAGCCUGCCUGGCUUGUACCUCUGGGUUGAGCCGCAGCAAGAUCGUGAAGAUCUCACCACAAAGAUAUGUUCAAAUACACUUAGAGCAUCGGUAGGCACACUGCAACCACCAGAGGAGGUUUGAGGAGGUUUGAAAACUACACAACAGGUGGGCCAACGAGAUGGCUGAGAUUGUAAAGGUGUCUGCAGCCAAGCCUGAGGAACCGAGUUCGAUCCUCCACACCCACACGGUGGAAUAGAGACCCGGUUCUCACCAGUCAUCCUCUGAUCUCCAGUGCAUGCCACACUUCCCUGUGCAUGCUUACGCCCCCUGCAAGAUGCAAAUAUAAAUUAAAACGUAAGGCAAAAAGAAUACAUACACAUGGGCCUCCCCUGCUCCUAGCUCACUUCCCCAUUCCAGGAUCUAGACUCGGGGUGUUUUAAAAGCCCCCUUAAGUGGCUCCAGUGUAUAAUGUGCAGCCAUCCUGAGGAAGGGAUGCCAAGAGAACAGAGGGGCUGCUAGCAGGAGAUGCUGCAGUCUGCGAGUGGCCGUGCUAAAGACUGAACUGAGGAAUCUGUGUCUGAUGAACAUGCUCCAUUCCAGACUCACCGUAAAUCCAUAUCCUGGCAAUCUGGC